UACAGAGGUCUCAAGCGUUGUUCGGAUUCAUUGGGGCGUAAAAGGGUGUGUAGGUGGCGCCGUAAGUCGGGUGUGAAAUUUCGGAGCUUAACUCCGAAACUGCAUUCGAUACUGCGGUGCUUGAGGACUGGAGAGGAGACUGGAAUUCAUGGUGUAGCAGUGAAAUGCGUAGAGAUCAUGAGGAAGACCAGUGGCGAAGGCGGGUCUCUGGACAGUUCCUGACACUGAGACACGAAGGCCAGGGGAGGCAAAACGGG
rnacentral:rRNA from 1 species